rnacentral:rRNA from 1 species
UACGGGGGGGGCAAGCGUUGUUCGGAAUUACUGGGCGUAAAGGGCGCGUAGGCGGCCUGCUAAGUCGGACGUGAAAUCCCUCGGCUCAACCGGGGAACUGCGUCCGAUACUGGCGAGGCUUGAAUCCGGGAGAGGGAUGUGGAAUUCCAGGUGUAGCGGUGAAAUGCGCAGAUAUCGGGAGGAACACCAAUGGCGAAGGCAGCUUGCUGGGACGGUACUGACGCUGAGGCGCGAAAGCGUGGGGAGCAAACAGG